GUAGAGGUGCUGAUGCCAUGUCCCUUUCCAGGGAGAAAUGAGCAAGUCCUGAGGGUUCCCUUGGUCCCAGGCCGAGGUUCUUCUGCAGAGUGUCAGGGCUGGUCCCGCCUGCAGAGGGGCGUUUCCUGCAGGGGAGGAGCUGCGCCUCAGUGCCCUGCCCGUGCGGGCAGCGUGCCAGGCACACCCCGGGGCGGGCACUGGGAUGCCCGGGCAGCGCUGGGAUGGGCACGGAUCAAGGGCUGCCCGCGGCUCCUGGGCCAGGGGCUGCUCUGAACGGGCCCCGGAGAUGCUGCAGCCCGGACAGAGCCCCCUGACAUCCCAACAACACCCCAAGGAACAGCUGCCAUUGCCUGGGAGUGCUGCACGCUGGGCUUGCAGAGGAGCUCAGACAGCAAUUCCCAGUGCCACCUCCUGGAGCUCCCACACAGCACCAGUGAGAAGAAUAUGAACUCACCACCAUUGAGGCCUGGCAGUUCCCUGCAGCGAGAGCUCAGUGCACAUCCACAGAGGCAAUUCCAGCAUCUAAAAGAAAG